rnacentral:rRNA from 1 species
UACGUAGGUGGCAAGCGUUGUCCAGAUUUACUGGGUGUAAAGGGCGUGUAGCCGGGCUGACAAGUCAGAUGUGAAAUCCGGGGGCUCAACCCCCGAACUGCAUUUGAAACUGUUGGUCUUGAGUAUCGGAGAGGCAGGCGGAAUUCCUAGUGUAGCGGUGAAAUGCGUAGAUAUUAGGAGGAACACCAGUGGCGAAGGCGGAUUGCUGGACAGUAACUGACGCUGAGGCGCGAAAGCGUGGGGAGCAAACAGG